rnacentral:rRNA from 1 species
UACAAAAUUGGAAAGCGGCGAACGGGCGAGUAACACGUUGGUAUCUACCUCUUGGUCAGGGAUAGCCAUCUGAAAGGAUGAUUAAUACCGGAUAGACUCUACGGAGUAAAGAUUUAUUGCCAAGAGAGGAACCUGCGGCCUAUCAGCUAGUUGGUGAGGUAAAAGCUCACCAAGGCUAUGACGGGUAGCUGAUCUGAGAGGAUGAUCAGCCGCAAUGGAACUGAGACACGGUCCAUACUCC